UGUCUUUUUGAAAAUAAUAUAAAGUCUAAUCUGCCCACUGAUUUUAUAUUAAAGGGCUGCAGUAUUUUGACUGUACAAAGGUAGCAUAAUCAUUAGUCAUUUAAUUGAUGACUUGUAUGAAAGAUUGGAUGAAAUAUAAACUGUCUCUUAAUUAUUUAUAUAAAAUUUAAUUUUUUAAUUAAAAAGUUAAAAUAAUUUAAAAAGACGAGAAGACCCUAUAGAGUUUUAUAAUUAAAUUAAUUAAGAUUAUUUAAAAUUUAAAAUUAAAAUUAAUUUAUUUAUUAUAUUGGGGUGAUAGAAAAAUAUAUAUAACUUUUUUUUUUUAUUAAACAUUUAUAAGUGAUUAAAUGAUCCAAUAAUAUUGAUUAUAAGAAAAAGUUACCUUAGGGAUAACAGCGUAAUUUUUUUUUUUAGUUCAUAUAAAAAAAAGAGUUUGCAACCUCGAUGUUGGAUUAAGAUAAAAUUUAAAUGUAGAAG
rnacentral:rRNA from 1 species